UACGUAGGGUGCGAGCGUUAAUCGGAAUUACUGGGCGUAAAGCGUGCGCAGGCGGUUUUGUAAGCCAGAUGUGAAAUCCCCGGGCUUAACCUGGGAAUGGCAUUUGGGACUGCAAGGCUCGAGUGCGGCAGAGGAGACUGGAAUUCCUGGUGUAGCAGUGAAAUGCGUAGAUAUCAGGAGGAACACCGAUGGCGAAGGCAGGUCUCUGGGCUGACACUGACGCUCAUGCACGAAAGCGUGGG
rnacentral:rRNA from 1 species